rnacentral:rRNA from 1 species
AUGGGGUACGCUACAUUCCCGGGCCAGAUUGGCCAUGGCCAUGCCGUCUUCCGGGGUCUCUCAGAAGUCGAAGUCUUUGAGCAGCUUCCGGACCUGCUCGAGCGUGACGAAGAGCACCACGGUGAAGGGCCCCUGUCGCGUCACCGUUGGGAUGAAGCCCUUGUACAGCGCCAGCGCGCCCUCGGACCGCACCGUCUUGAUGGCGCAGUCGAUCGCGCCGGCGUACGGCGGCGGGGCGCCCGGCUCCACCUUCAUGUUCAUGAUCCUCGUCUUGACCACGUCCACGGGGCUGGACGCCGCCGCGGCCACCAGGCCGGCCGUGAAGCUGGCGGCCACGUGCGUCGCAAGCCCGUCGCCGCCCGGGCCGCGCCGGGACAGGAUCGCCUCCUUGGCCUGGUCGUAGGUGGCCAGCUGCGACGCCGUGACGAUCAUGGCGCGGUUGACCGUGAGCGACGACCCGCGCCACAGCCUGCGCACGCCCUCGUCGCGCGCGAUCCGGCCGAUGGCGUGCGCGACGCUCCGGUAGUUCCGCCGCUCGGCCGCGGGGAGCCGCCCGUCCGCCUGCAUCCGCACCAUGGCCACGUCCGCCGGGUUGCCCACGGUCGCGCCGACGCCGCCGGCGACGAGCCCGGCCGCGAUCUUCCGGUGCAGCGGCAGCGCGGCGCCGCCGGAUUCCCGCUCCCACCUCCUCUUGAUCGUGUCGUAGAGCCCCAUGGACGUGGAGGAGUAGACCGCCUGCCGCAGCACGGUGGCCGACACCCCGGAGAGCAGCCCCGCGGGGCCCUCCGCCCGCAAGAUCUGCGCGCCGAUGGCGAUGGGCCCGGGCCUGCGCGGCGGCUGCAGGAGGUGGUCGUGGUGGUGGUGAUGCUGCACGCCGGGGGGGAACACGAGCGCGAAGCGCAUGGCCGGGGCCGGGGCCCGGGCCGCCUCGCCCUGCAGCUGCAUGCGGACCUUGAUGAGGUCGAGCGGGUGCGUCGAGCAGCCGGCGACGACGGAGGCGGCGCCGCCCUCGACGAACCCCUUCAGCCCCAUGUCUCCGUCUCUGGUGUUUCGUCGGUGCGGAGGCGGAGGGUCAUGUGGCUAGGAAUCUGGAAGCCCCAGCGCUCGUGGGGAGGCGGAGGUGGAGGCGGAGGCGGCCGAGGUAAUGGACGGCCGGGGGAGGGGAGGGGAGGGGAGGCGGGCAGGCGGGGUGCUGGGCUGGGUCUCGCAACCUAA